AAGGUCUGGGUCCCAGUAUGGCUGGCCAGGAUUUUGCGAGGCAGCAAUUCCUCCAUGAAGAUGUCGGAGAGGUCGGGCAGCGGGCGCGAGAAAGAGAGAGAGCGGGCAGAGAGGGGGGGCUCAGGUGAGGCGGGCAGCGGGUUGAAAGAAUCAGCCGGGGAAAAGAGGAAGAGGAGUCGAGCCGUGGAGAAGGUGAUGAACUCCAGCAACCCCUCCAGCCCUGGAGGAGCCAAGCGCCGCAGGACGUAGCCGCAACUUGCAGCAGGAUGACUUGGGACAUCAGACAUUUGAAAAGAACUGACGGAGAAAGGUGUAGCUAAUAUUGGUCGCGCUAGAGCCAAUGUGAACGUGAAAUGAGAUGGCGAGCAGGGGAUGUGUGAUGUUCGUGUGUUUACUGCGAGAGGCGUUCCUGUGCUUUAAGCGUUCUGAGCUGUUCACUGACAAAUGGAGGAAAUCUAGACGAAGGAAAGUCUUUGGUGGUUGUGUGGGAUCUGACUAGACUGAUGGGGAAAGUAUGAUAAACAAAUAAGCUUUCCUCUGCUGAGUUUGGAAACAAAACAGCAACUUUUUAAAAAGAUUUGUGGGAAUUUUAAGUGGUAGCUUUAUUUUAUUUUCGUCAGAGCAGACUUUCUUGAGACGGACCAGAGAAUCAACUAGUUUGUUGUGUGAUUUAUUAGAACUUACACUGCAAAUAAGCUGAGCUAGACGUGUUAUUAACUGUAUGAAAUAACUUGAUUCUAUUAGCCAAUUAGACGGUCAUUGAUCAAAUGCUUAGGAAAUAGUGAUUGAUAUUUGCACUGUUUCUGAGUCAUGUUUGAUUGAAAUAUUUGACCGAAUGUGUAUUAAACACAUCAGGAGUAUGUCCCUGAUUAAAAAAUGGUAGUGAACCA